GCGUGGGCGACUCGUCUAUAAAAGCCGGGCUCGGCGCGUCCCGUCGCCACAGUGGCUUCCUGUUGUCUUUCUGUCCGUGCGGAGUUGUAGUCUCGCCAGGAAUCCCUGUGGCCGUGAAGAUGGCGUCUACCAGCCGUUUGGAUGCUCUCCCAAGAGUCACAUGUCCAAACCAUCCAGAUUCGAUUUUAGUGGAGGACUACAGAGCUGGUGAUAUGAUCUGUCCUGAAUGUGGCCUGGUUGUAGGUGACCGGGUUAUCGAUGUGGGAUCUGAAUGGAGAACUUUCAGCAAUGAUAAAGCAACAAAAGAUCCAUCUCGAGUUGGAGAUUCUCAGAAUCCUCUUCUGAGUGAUCGAGAUUUGUCUACCAUGAUUGGCAAGGGCACCGGAGCUGCAAGUUUUGAUGAAUUUGGCAAUUCUAAGUACCAGAAUCGGAGAACAAUGAGUAGUUCUGAUCGGGCCAUGAUGAAUGCGUUCAAGGAAAUCACUACCAUGGCAGACAGAAUCAACCUCCCUAGAAAUAUAGUUGAUCGAACAAAUAAUUUAUUCAAGCAAGUGUAUGAACAGAAGAGCCUGAAGGGAAGAGCUAAUGAUGCCAUAGCUUCUGCGUGUCUCUAUAUUGCCUGUAGACAAGAAGGGGUUCCUAGGACAUUUAAAGAAAUAUGUGCCGUAUCACGAAUUUCUAAGAAAGAAAUUGGUCGAUGUUUUAAACUUAUUUUGAAAGCUUUAGAAACCAGUGUGGAUUUGAUUACAACUGGGGACUUCAUGUCCAGGUUUUGUUCCAACCUCUGUCUUCCUAAGCAAGUGCAGAUGGCAGCUACACAUAUAGCCCGUAAAGCUGUGGAACUGGACUUGGUGCCUGGAAGGAGCCCGAUAUCUGUGGCGGCAGCAGCCAUUUACAUGGCCUCACAGGCAUCAGCUGAGAAGAGGACCCAAAAAGAAAUUGGAGAUAUUGCUGGUGUUGCUGAUGUUACAAUCAGGCAGUCCUACAGACUAAUCUAUCCUCGGGCCCCAGAUCUGUUUCCUCCAGACUUCAAAUUUGACACCCCUGUUGACAAACUACCCCAAUUAUAAAUUGAGGCAGCUAAUGUCAAACUCUUGUGGUCACUGAACUUUGCCUAUUGUACAUAGCGUAUAUAAAUUGCUGGAUUGAGCCUUUAAUAAGGAAAAAGAAAUGGCAAGAAGUGAUGAACUGGACACUGGAUGGCACUGCCUUGAUAAGAAUGUGCGUUUUCCUCCAUGAGAUUGAGCAGAGAAGAUGCUGUGUCUAGUACACAGAAGGCAUUCCAUCAAUAUCCAUUGAAUAGAAGAUGCUGCUGACCUUACAGGAGUAAGAUGCAAAAUUUUCCCAUUAUUGUCAGUGAAGAGAACAACUUGCUGUGACUCUUCAUGAUUUUGCCCUUCCCCAGGACAAAAAGUACUUGCAAGAAGGCUAACUAAAGUUAACGUCUUUGAGAUCUUGAAUACAGUAAAGCCAACGCAUACUUUGAUCAAUGUAAAAUUUUCAAAAAGAAAUAAUACUUAAAACCAAAGUUACAAAUUGCAAUCUAUUUAAACUUUAAUUUGUGCAUCUGUGGUAAUUUAUGACUGCAAAACACUUUUUUCUUAGAAUGACAUAAUUAAAGGCACAUUUCAUAUGAAUGCAUAGUGUACCAUUCUAAAAUAUUUUAAUUUCCUCACAAAGUGCUUGAGCAGUCACUUACACAUACAGUAAUAGCAAAAUAUAUUUACACUCUAUAGAGUUUAAAAAUUUUAAAUCUGACUAAAAUAUAUAUAUAUGUUUAAAACUACAGAAAAAAUUAGUGCUUUCUUCAGCUUACUGGUGUGAAUAUACCCUGCCCUCUAAUUUUUUUUAGUGAUUGGCUUUAAUUAAAAAAAAAUUUCUGUACAUUGUGUAGUUACAAAAAUGCUGUCAGUUUUUAAUGCUAAAAGCCUAUUUUAGACAUUGCUUUUUAUACAUAUUUGAGAACCUGAAAAGGUGAAAAGACUGUACCUCAAAAGUAUUUAGUGUUUUUUUAAAAUGUUGUGUUAAUACUGUUUAAAUUAAAGCCAGGCAAUUAAGCUAAGAUCCUCUAUUGUCCUUUACCAAAAGUCAACUGGCAUUUAAAAAUAACUUGAAACAACAUAUUGCUCCUUCUAGAAGAUUAUCCCCCAAAGGAUCUUGGGUAAUAAUCAACUUGAAAGGAAAUAUGAAUUAUCUCUGAACCAUUUGAAUUGUUCUCAGAGUACAGCAAAAACAUGCCAACACCCUCUGGCAAGGCUGAAAUAUUUAUAAAUGUUUUCAGCUCAACUCUCUGCUUUCGUGUUUCUCAUGAUUUAAACUUGAACAGUUUUUAAGACAUGAGAUCACUGUGAUUAAAUGGUUAAUUCAGAAUGUUCAGUUAAUAACUUGCUUUCCUGAGGUAUGAUGAACCUAAUAUGCUAAGCACAGAAUCAAAGAUGUUAUUAUUGAACUAAGGAAAAACAAUGAAGUCAUGGACUAGAAGGGAAAAACAAAUGAACAAACAAACAAAAAUAUCCAAAACUCCAGGCAAGUGGAAAAGUCAUGGCUUACAAAAAGACUUUCCUAUAAGAGCAUUAAAAAGCCACAAAAGGAUCCUCUGAAAAGUUGUAAAAAGUACUUGAUCAAAUUAUUUUUGAGACUUUUGAGGUACAGCUUUAGUGUUAUAAUUUUUAUAAAAUAUAAACUGUUUUAUCAAAAAUAUUUAUACAUUCUGUUACAAUAUAUUGCUUUUGCCCUUAGUAACUGCCAAUAUAAAAUCUGGAUCCAGUGGCCUAAAAUGUACAAAUGCACUUAACAAAUGCGGGAGUUUGAGGUGUCUGCUUGGCCACUGUACAAAGUGAUGAAGUGGUGAAAUUAAAUAAUAAACCAACAUAGAAUACAUUACAACUUGCACAUAUACAUGUUCACAGCAUGUAUACAAUGAUAACCCCUAUGUUUUAACAAAGAUAUAGUUCCCUUCUACAGUAGACAUAAGAACAAGAUGAACUAGGUUGAUAAAUGUACAAUGAAUAUCAAAAGAAGCACUAAUGAGUUCACUGAUUUUGGAGGAAGGUAUGACUGAACAUGCUGAGUGUUUAGACUUUGGGAAUGCAUACAGGUUAACACAGUAUCUUGGUUCAGGCUAAUCAGAAGUUCUCAUUCUUAAAAUUUUAAGUAAAUGCUGAUGUUUAAUUGUUCCUGUUCAUUUCAUGGUUUAAUAAACAAGUGUUUGGCAAGUA